GAUGAACGCUGGCGGCGUGCCUAAUACAUGCAAGUCGAGCGAACAGACGAGGAGCUUGCGCCCCUGACGUUAGCGGCGGACGGGUGAGUAAGCAUUGCAAAGCAACCUAUUAUUUCGGGGUGAAUUCCGGAAAGCAGCGGACAUUACGGCCGAAUACGUCAAACGGAUGGAUCAAGGGGUAAAUAGGGCUUUGCGGGAUCGUAUAAGCCCAUGCCGCAUUAGCUAGUUGGUUAGGUAACGGCCUACCAAGGCAACGAUCCGUAGCCGACCUGAGAGGGUGAUCGGCCACACUGGAACUGAGACACGGUCCAGACUCCUACGGGAGGCAGCAGUAGGGAAUCUUCCGCAAUGGGCGAAAGCCUGACGGAGCAACGCCGCGUGAGUGAUGAAGGUCUUCGGAUCGUAAAACCCUGUUAUUAGGGAAGAACAAAUGUGUAAGUAACUAUGCACGUCUUGACGGUACCUAAUCAGAAAGCCCCGGCUAACUACGUG
rnacentral:rRNA from 1 species